UACGUAGGCAGCGAGCGUUGUUCGGAAUUACUGGGCGUAAAGAGUGUGUAGGCGGUGCUCUAAGUUCGGUGUGAAAUCUCCCGGCUUAACUGGGAGGGUGCGCCGGAAACUGGAGUGCUCGAGCGUGGGAGAGGAAAGCGGAAUUCCUGGUGUAGCGGUGAAAUGCGUAGAUAUCGGAAGGAACACCUGUGGCGAAAGCGGCUCACUGGACCAUAACUGACGCUGAGGCGCGAAAGCUAGGGGAGCAAACAGG
rnacentral:rRNA from 1 species